rnacentral:rRNA from 1 species
UACGAAGGGGGCUAGCGUUGCUCGGAAUCACUGGGCGUAAAGCGCACGUAGGCGGCUUCUUAAGUCAGGGGUGAAAUCCUGGAGCUCAACUCCAGAACUGCCUUUGAUACUGGUAGUCUAGAGUCCGGAAGAGGUGAGUGGAAUUCCGAGUGUAGAGGUGAAAUUCGUAGAUAUUCGGAGGAACACCAGUGGCGAAGGCGGCUCACUGGUCCGGUACUGACGCUGAGGUGCGAAAGCGUGGGGAGCAAACAGG